GACGAACCGAGCGAACGUUAUUCGGAAUCACUGGGCUUAAAGGGCGCGUAGGCGGGCGGCCAAGUCAGAGGUGAAAGCCUCCAGCUCAACUGGAGAAGUGCCUUUGAUACUGGUCAUCUCGAGGGAGAUAGGGGCGUGCGGAACUUCCGGUGGAGCGGUGAAAUGCGUAGAUAUCGGAAGGAACACCGGUGGCGAAAGCGGCGCGCUGGAUCUCUUCUGACGCUGAGGCGCGAAAGCCAGGGGAGCGAACGGG
rnacentral:rRNA from 1 species